CCGUAUCCUUGUGAACUUGGUACUGGCUAUGGUCAGCCUUGUUUAUCUACGAAAUUUGCAUGGCGCAGCCCAUAUCACUUAUAGCCACUGGAUUUGAGCCAAUUUACAGAAAGAAACCCUAUAAUUUCACUCUUAACAUGCGUAAAUGAAAGUAGAUGUUCAAUGCUGGGAAAAGGCAGAGGAGAAAGAUGAGUAAGAGGAGAGACAAGGCGUCAGCAAUGGAAGUAUAGGUGGAGGCAGAGGAGGAAGUAUGGGAGGAGGCGGAGAAGGAA
rnacentral:lncRNA from 1 species